rnacentral:misc_RNA from 1 species
GCCAAACCAUCCUGUCAACCUAAAAAGUAUUAAAUUCAUUAGACAUGCACAAAGAGGAUGGUCUUCAAAUUUCAACCUCUCAGUUAAGCAAUUAAUAACCUUCAAGCUUUAAAUAAGAUCUUGUACCUUUCAUGAGCCACUAAGAACAUGUUGAAGCACGAGUUAGAAUGAAGGCAAAUCUUUCCUCAUUUGCCCUUUUUUAUGAGUUCG